GAUUUUAUAUAAAAAAGAAAAGAAAAAACAAAAAAAACCCUUGAAAGCACAGAAGGAGCAGACUAAGGGCCGAGCCUCAUAAAAAACCUUUUCACUGAAAACCCAGUGGGAAAAACCGUGAAAAGGAAAAAGAGUACUCGUCUAAACACAAGACGAAAGUAGGGAAGAGCGGAAGGAGAUACAACUCCGAGAUUCAGAAAAUCAACGAAAAAAACAACUGAAACCCCUAAAGAAAACGUCCCCGAAAAACAGAGACAAAAACCAACGGAAUCCGACCAGUAGCGUCCCCGAGCCGAGCGCACCCAAACCCGGAAGGACUCUACCGACACUCCAUCCCUCACCAAACCAGGGCAGCACAAGCUCAACUCCAUCCACCGCUUCCAUCAGCGCAAGAACCAACUGAGCGUCAAGAGCACCCAUCUUAAUCCAAACGCUUGCCAAUUGUUCGAAGAAAAACCCAAACCAAGAUCUCCCCAAACACACGUCAACAAAACCAAGAAAAAACCGAACCAAACAACCACCCAUCAGCCCCAACUACCGUUUCUGACGCAGAUGGCUAUGCGAAGCCAUGUCAAGGCGAACCGCAGCCCUAAUCUCCUCAAUCUCGUGCGGCCACCACCCUUCCGUACGUUGUUGGUUAGCCAUUAAAUCUGCCGCCUUGUUUCCUUCUCUAAAGAUGUGAGUAACCUGCAGCGAGAAAGCAUCUAACAUCUUUAAAAUCCUAUUCCACGCCGCCUUAAAACGCCAAGGCACAUUCAAAGAACGAGAAUUAAGAAUGGAUAUGACGUAGUUGGAAUCGGCUUCAAUCCAAAGCUUGUGCCAACCACGAUUGUGAGCAAUUUGAAUCGCCGAGAUAACAGCCAGUAGUUCCGCUUCAAAGGCAAAACCCGAGCCACCUUUGAAGUGAAAACAACCA
rnacentral:lncRNA from 1 species